UUCUCUCCUAUCUCUCGUCGCGGAUGAACCCUGGUUUUUCCGGACAAAAAUCAUGGUUUGCCAUCGUCAAUAAAUCGUUAUCUGUUUAGGUCGAGAUUUAAAGUCGGGUCUAUCUGUUUCAUGUUUCAUUUCAUCCCGCUGGAAUUUCAAACCAUUUAAAUCCCAAAAUCAAAACCCUAGAUAACAGUUCUAAAACCACAUCACCAUGGAGAAAACUAGACAAAUUUCUCCUUCCUAGAUUAUUUAUACAGUCACGGAGGUCUUUUGCUUGAAGAGAUUGAAUCGAUGUCACCGGUUUGAUAGGUUCAUACUAACGGGUUCAGAGGAUGGGAGCAUGCGAAUCUGGGAAACGAAAAAUGUAUUGACAUCAUAGAUCCAGAGGAACAAAUGAAGUCAAAGGAAGCCUUCCCAUGGGCUAGUUCAAGUGAAAGCUGGCUGGUGCGUUUGUAUCACAGUUCCAUCGUUGGAUACCCAUAUGGAAGUGGAUUGCAGAGGUUGAUGUGACUAGAGCAGAAAAUGUCUUGGAGGAUAACAUGAAGAUUGUAUUUGAGCAAAACAAGGAGAGACUUGCUUUUCUGAAAUGGGGAUCCACUGCUUUCUGUAAUAUGCUCGUUGUUCCUCCAGAAUCUGUCAUUAUGCACCAGGUUAGCUUUAACAAUUGAUAGUAUGUACAACAGAUUGCUCAAGAUUACAGUUAAUCCAGGUUCCAGACUCCGAUAUUGGAUCCCACUUUGGUAUGCUACUUGAGAAUCAGGAAGGUUCUUUGAGACAGAUUUUUAAGCUAGCGAAAAGUUUCAUGCUCAUAAGUUGGUAUUGGCUGCUUGAUCCCCUGUAUAUGGAGAUGAAUUGAUGGAUGGUAUGGAAAAGACAAAUGUGAGGUAGUUGAAGAUCUUUGAGACAGAUUUUUAAGCUAAGCAUCAUUUUAGUUUUUAUGCUUUUAGAUUUAAGUUUACUUCAGUUUGCUCAUAAGUUGUCUUGUACAGAAACUAUAAGGUUAUUUAUAUCCAUUUUGUGUAGCAUCCCUUGCUUCAUGUGUCUUAUCUUUCUCUUUUAAUCAAAUGGGCGAUUCAGACGAGGCUGCACCUGAUCAUUUAUCCCUUGUCACUAAAAUUACUAAGUGUAUCUCCUUAGAGCCUCUGGUGGAAUGUUCAUCCAUUACUUGGCGAAAACAGCUACUAUCAAGAACAUGUACGUAAUUCUGGUAUUCACUUCUUUAUUGGCUAUGAUGGCAUCUGUAUUUCGUAUGAUGAAUGCUGAUCACGUUCUUUUAUUGUCGUCUUUGUGGGUAUAUAUAAGCAAGUAUUAGAACAGAUGCCUCGAGUCAGUUUCAUCGUUGGAUGCUCAUAUGGAAGUGGAUUGCAGAGGUUGAGGUGAAUGAUUCUGCUACUUUAACAAGUUAUACUACCACUUCAUAGUAGUACGAGGCUACUGUCCAAGCAAGGCGUGUUCACAUAACAUUCGAAAGUCAGCCCUCACAGCAAAUCAUUAACAUCUGUAUGAAGCUCAGAACAGCAAACAUAAGCAAAUCAUUAACUUAUGGACAUGCACAGGUGGUGGCUGAGCAUUUUUGAAUGGAGGAAGUAGCUGGACAAUAGAAAAUAGAAAGCUAACCUCUGAGAGGAGAUGAAAGAAAGUUUUGAUAAGAUUGGGCAUCAGAUUGUGGAUCCAGUUACUCAGUUAAUAAUGCAAUCUAACUCAGCCUGCAGUAACCUGCAGUAAGCAUGAAUUUGGAAGGAAAAGUUUAAGGUAUGUACACAUUCAACUUGGAAGGCUUGGUUCUGAAAGUCUUGCCACCUUGCUCAAGAAGAGGGGGAGGAUGAAAAAGGAUCUACAUCUAUGUGCAGUGCACUCCAAUCCCUUUCUUCUUUUUUAGUACACGAUAGAGAGAGUUUUGGUCUUUGUCUUUCUGAUGUAUCUGGGAACCGGAAAUAUCUUGUAUUUGAGUAUGCACUUGGAAGACAAUGGAAUGAGAAGGAUUUGGUGUUGUUCUUGCCAGUCUGAUUUUGCACCCUUGGUGCCACCCUGUGCGACCCAAUUUAAAAUGGGUAUUGUGAAACCUUGAUUCGUGUCCUUUUCUUGUUUAUUUUAAAUGAUUUUUUGAUUUUAAGGUUUGGGUGUAAGGGUUUUGGUUAUCUGUUAUAUCUAAUGGAAUUAUUCUUGGCUGUGGAUAAAAGUUCGGCAGCAAAUUUCUGCCUUGCUAAUGGAUUUACCUUGAUCAGGUAGCCAGGGUUUUGAGUAUAUUCAUAUAUUUGUAGAAUCGUUGUUUUUUGAUUUAGUUGAGAGUAGAUUUAAGAUGUUAUUGUUUGUAGGUGGGUUUCCAGUAAUAGAAAACAUGGAUUCCGAGACCA